rnacentral:rRNA from 1 species
CCUACGGGAGGCAGCAGUGGGGAAUAUUGGGCAAUGGGCGCAAGCCUUACCCAGCAAUACCGCGUGAGUGAAGCAGGUCUUCGGAUUGUAAAGCUCUUUGAUCAGGGACGACCAGAUGACGGUACCUGAAGAACAAGCCCCGGCUAACUACGUGCCCGCAGCCGCGGUAAAACGUAGGGGCCGAGCGUUGUCCGGAAUGACUGGGCGGAAAGGGUGCGUAGUGUGCAUUAUAAGGUAGAAGUGAAAUACCCAGAGCUUAACUCGGGUGCUUCUUCUAAGCAUGUUGAGCUUGAGUGCGGGAGAGGUGAAUGGAAUGCCUAGUGUAGCGGUGGAAUGCGUAGAUAUUAGGAGGAACACCAGAGGCGAAGGCGAUGAACUGGACCGUAACUGACGCUGAGGCACGAAAGUGUGGGUAGCAAACAGGAUUAGAUACCCGUGUAGUC